rnacentral:rRNA from 1 species
GACGAACGCUGGCGGCGUGCCUAAUACAUGCAAGUCGAACGCAGUGGGGAUGGGUGAGUAACCCGUGGGUAACCUCCCCUCAGACGGGAUAACACUUGGAAACAGGUGCUAAACCGAUAUUGAUUGAUGGACUCGCGGUGCAUUAGCUAGUUGGUGAGGUAACGGCGCACCAAGGCCACGAUGCAUAGACGACCUGAGAGGGUGAGAGGCCACACGGGGACUGAGACACGGCCCAGAAGCCUACGGGAGGCAGCAGUAGGGAAUCUUCGGCAAUGGACGAAAGUCUGACCGAGCAACGCCGCGUGAGUGAAGAAGGUUUUCGGAUCGUAAAACUCUGUUGGUAGAGAAGCGGUAUCUAACCAGAAAGCCACGGCUAACUACGUGCCAGCAGCCGCGGUAAUAC